rnacentral:lncRNA from 1 species
UUUGACUCGUUAUCGUAAAGGUAGGAUUAUAAGAAGUCGUAUGAUACAUGUUAUAGCAAUCCGCGUUAAAUGUAAUGACAUGAUGAGUUACAUGAAUUUAAGCGUAUAUGGAAAUGAUUAUAUGAGUUAUGUUGGUUAAGAAUGAAUAAUGAAAGUUAAGUAUGAAAGAUGCGAUUGACAUGAUGGUUAACAUGCACAAAUGAGUAUGCUAAUAAGAGCGUGAUUUUGAUGAAAUGAAAGUAUAGGAAUCACGUCGAGACGGGCGCAAGCAUGAGAUGUUAACGGGUCAAUAAGAGGCAAGGAAUCGGAUGCGAGCACGGACGCAUAAGGUUGUACGAAUCACGGAUUAACCUC